CACUUGUGGGAGUCUGGAGAAGCAGAUGCUUCCCUGGACAUUCACUAGUCACAUGACCCAAAGGAAGUUGGGAAUAUACUGGAAAUUGUGGAUGCCCGGUGGCAGCUGUGGAGAUAUUAAAUGGCCAAGUCCAUGAAGUUACCUAAAGAUGGAGGAAGACGAGAUACACCUAUGGAGAGGAGAAGAGGAAAGAAGCUUGUACAUUCUAGAUACUUUGGGAUUUCUUGUACCCAACACAAGGAAGAUUGAACAGAGAGCAGCAUGUCCUUGCCAGUCAACUCAUCUGCUGCCUGUCCCCCAGAAUGAUGAGAAAGAACUUCCUCUUGUUUGUAAGUCACUCAAGACCAUGGUAUUGUGUUGCAUUGGUCCACACGGACUAAGACACUGUGCAACUCACUUUACUGGAAGUUUAUCAAGCUCCUACUUUUCAUCCAUCAAACAGUACAUAAUGGAAGUGACAACUUCCUAUUGUCCAAAUGGACUGGGCACUCCUGCUUAUUGCUAGGCAUUUUCUCUCUCUCUCCCUCGGUGAUGCAGAUAUAGGCCAGAUUAGAGCAGAUUAAAAGUAAAUAAAGGCAGGUUUUUUAAGAGGCAGCUCUCGGGUAGGUUCACUGAUCUCACAGAUAGAGGUCAGCGAAGUCACAUAUCCAGGCUAGACCAAGGGGGUUUUAUAGAGCUUAGGAAAGGAGUGAUGAUGUGCGAGAAGGAGCUGGGAUGGUUCUCAGACACAGUCAAAAUCUGAGUCCCUAGGUGGGCACUCACCAGUGGGCUGCCAGAAGCAUAGGGAGGAGGAAUAUCUGACUAACAUCUGGAAAGGAAAGGAGGGAUGAACUAAGGAAUAGAGAAUGGAGGCGUGUAGAAGCAUGAGGUCAGAAACAUCAAGAGCAGGGGCAGCUCUACCCAGCUGCCCAGGUGAGGUGCAGAGCCCGUUCCCCCAAGCUGCAUCUACUGAGGGACAUGGCUACUUCUCCCACUCUCCUCACUCUCGGGAUCCCAGGGCCAGCUCUUCUGCCUGCCAUGGAUGUCUGGACUCCCUAGCCUGAACUCCAAGGCCACUGUAGGUCUCCGAGAAGAUAAAAAGACUAAGAAUUCAAGCCGCCACCAUCACCUGGGAGUCCAGCUACCAACGCACGUGGAAACUAUCCAUGGAGACCCCAGGUUCAGUCUGCAGCAUGGCCACAUAGUUAUUCUUCACUAAAAUAACAUCUGGCUUUCAUUCUUUAAUGACAACUCAUUUGGACAGGA
rnacentral:lncRNA from 1 species